UUGUGUCAAUAUGUAUUAAAUCUCGCCAAAUAUGACCAGAGCUACGAUAUAAGGGAUCGAGCGCGAUUUUUACGUCCCAUUGUGUUUCCCGGAGAGAAGGUGGGACAGAUUGUUAAACACUCCAAGAAAAUAUUGCUGGCUUCCAAACCACCUCCCGUGUUAGAGUCAUCUUUCAAAGGUCAUGGUGAGUUCAUCGUCGGCUCUCUCUCUCA